CUUCAGACGGGGAAGCUGAGGACAGAAAAAGGGUAGGACUGCUGUGCAAUGGCUGCAGAUAGCAGCCACCUCAGUCGUGUCCGCAGCCGGUUGCUCUAAGGGACCUUGGAGACAGCA
rnacentral:snoRNA from 1 species